CGAACGGGUGAGUAACGCGUGAGGAACCUGCCUCAAAGAGGGGGACAACAGUUGGAAACGACUGCUAAUACCGCAUAAGCCCACGGCUCGGCAUCGAGCAGAGGGAAAAGGAGUGAUCCGCUUUGAGAUGGCCUCGCGUCCGAUUAGCUAGUUGGUGAGGUAACGGCCCACCAAGGCGACGAUCGGUAGCCGGACCGAGAGGUUGAACGGCCACAUUGGGACUGAGACACGGCCCAG
rnacentral:rRNA from 1 species